GCCAGGCACAGUGGUGCGUGCCUGCAGUCCCAGCUACUCAGGAGGCUGAGGCGGGAGAAUCUCUGAGCCCAGGAGUUCUGGGCUGUAGUGCGCUAUGCCGAUCGGGUGUCCACACCAAGUUCAGCAUCAACAUGGUGACCUCCCGGGAGCAGGGGACCACCAGAUUGCCUAAGGAGGGGUGAACUGGCCCAGGUCAGAAACAGAGCAGGUCAAAACUCCCAUGCUGAUCAGUAGUGGGAUCACACCUGUGAAUAGCCACUGCACUCCAGCCUGGGCAACAUAGCGAGAUCCCGUCUCU
rnacentral:SRP_RNA from 1 species